AGCAAGGGAAGGUCCUCCCUGGGAACUGGCUGAGCACAAGAAUCUGCUUUGAAAUUGUCAUUCAAUUCCUAAUGCCUUGAGGUGCAGUGGUAAAGGGCUGGGUCCAAGGAGCUCUCACUGGGGCACGCUCAGAGGGUUG